CGCGAAUGGCUCAUUACAACAGCCACUGUUUACUUGAUCUUGACUAUCCUACUUGGAUAACUGUGGUAAUUCUAGAGCUAAUACACGCAAUAAAGCUCCGACCUUACGGGACGAGCGCAUUUAUUAGACCAAAACCAAUCGGGCUUCGGCCUGAGCCGUUGGUGACUCUGAAUAACUGAGCUGAUCGCAUGGUCUUUGUACCGGCGACGCAUCUUUCAAGUGUCUGCCUUAUCAACUUUCGAUGGUAGUUUAUGUGCCUACCAUGGUUGUUACGGGUAACGGAGAAUAAGGGUUCGACUCCGGAGAGGGAGCCUGAGAAACGGCUACCACAUCCAAGGAAGGCAGCAGGCGCGCAAAUUACCCACUCUUGGCACGAGGAGGUAGUGACGAAAAAUAACGAGGCGGUUCUCUAUGAGGCCCGCUAUCGGAAUGGGUACAAUUUAAACCCUUUAACGAGGACCUAUGAGAGGGCAAGUCUGGUGCCAGCAGCCGCGGUAAUUCCAGCU
rnacentral:rRNA from 1 species